rnacentral:rRNA from 1 species
GACGAACGCUGGCGGCGUGCCUAAUACAUGCAAGUAGAACGCUGAAGGAGGAGCUUGCUUCUCUGGGUGAGUUGCGAACGGGUGAGUAACGCGUAGGUAACCUGCCUAGUAGCGGGGGAUAACUAUUGGAAACGAUAGCUAAUACCGCAUAAUAGUAGAUGUUGCAUGACAUUUGCUUAAAAGGUGCAAUUGCAUCACUACCAGAUGGACCUGCGUUGUAUUAGCUAGUUGGUGGGGUAACGGCUCACCAAGGCGACGAUACAUAGCCGACCUGAGAGGGUGAUCGGCCACACUGGGACUGAGACACGGCCCAGACUCCUACGGGAGGCAGCAGUAGGGAAUCUUCGGCAAUGGACGGAAGUCUGACCGAGCAACGCCGCGUGAGUGAAGAAGGUUUUCGGAUCGUAAAGCUCUGUUGUAAGAGAAGAACGAGUGUGAGAGUGGAAAGUUCACACUGUGACGGUAUCUUACCAGAAAGGGACGGCUAACUACGUG